rnacentral:rRNA from 1 species
GACGAACGCUGGCGGCGUGCUUAACACAUGCAAGUCGAACGGAAAGGCCCUGCUUGCAGGGUGCUCGAGUGGCGAACGGGUGAGUAACACGUGGGUGAUCUGCCCCUUACUUUGGGAUAAGCCUGGGAAACUGGGUCUAAUACUGGAUAGGACCAUGCUGUAGGUGGUGUGGUGGAAAGAUUAGUUUCGGUAAGGGAUGAGCUCGCGGCCUAUCAGCUUGUUGGUGGGGUAAUGGCCUACCGAGGCGUCGACGGGUAGCCGGCCUGAGAGGGUGGACGGCCACAUUGGGACUGAGAUACGGCCCAGACUCCUACGGGAGGCAGCAGUGGGGAAUAUUGCACAAUGGGCGCAAGCCUGAUGCAGCGACGCCGCGUGGGGGAUGACGGCCUUCGGGUUGUAAACUCCUUUCAGCCAUGACGAAGCCCUUGUGGUGACGGUAGUGGUAGAAGAAGCACCGGCUAACUACGUG